GGCAGAUCUAGAGGGAUGAAUAGGUAGUCA
rnacentral:piRNA from 1 species